UACAGAGGUCCCAAGCGUUGUUCGGAUUCACUGGGCGUAAAGGGUGCGUAGGUGGUGAGGUAAGUCGGAUGUGAAAUCUCCGAGCUCAACUCGGAAACUGCAUUGGAAACUACCUUGCUCGAGGGUUGGAGGGGGGACUGGAAUGCUUGGUGUAGCAGUGAAAUGCGUAGAUAUCAAGCGGAACACCAGUGGCGAAGGCGAGUCCCUGGACAACACCUGACACUGAGGCACGAAAGCUAGGGGAGCAAACAGG
rnacentral:rRNA from 1 species